rnacentral:lncRNA from 1 species
UAAUUACAACUAGAUCCCAAAAUUUUAUUAAUGUAAAAACAUCAUUAAAGGAUCAAAACAAUUCGUCCUUUAGCGUUUUAGGGCCUUAACGUAAAAACGUAAACUUUUGGGCCAAAGUGCAAAUACAUAAAAGUAUCAAAACUUUAUGUAAUUGCAUAAAAGACCCCAAAAGUACCCCCACUAGGGGGUGGCCGGUUUUUAGAGAGGUAAAGUAGUGUGAAAGGGUUUUAUGCAAGUUGAGCAUGCAUGUGCAAAAUGCAAGUGGAUUUUGGUGAGUGAGUUAUUGGUGAAAUUGAUGGUUUGUAAGAAAAAUAAAAGAUCUAUGACAAAUCAUUAAAACCAUUUCAUCACAUCUCACCAAUAACCAUCAACCAUCAAUUAAUAAACCAAAACUUUAUGAAAAACAUAAAACUUUAGAAUCAAAACUUCAAACCCUUUUGUUCUUGGUAAGAACUUCAAGAACAUUGAAGAACACCAUGAAAACUCAUAAUAGCUCCAUGAAUGUUUUCAAUCACCAAAACUCAAUUUUUCACCUCUCAAAAGAGGGCUAAUAUCCUAGGGUACUUAGGGGUUCCAAAAGUCACCUUAAAACCAUUUUAACAAGACAAACAUGAACCCAAAAAAUCACCCUAAGGAUUUGGCCGAAUUUCCCAAAAUACAUGGCACCAAAUUUUAGUUCCAAUAUUCAUGCUUAAAUGAAAUACAUCUACAACAUUUGAGAUGCUAAAUUUUCUAGCAAAAUUUAUAUAUUCAAAAGCAAGAACAAAGCUUGUAACAUUUACAACAUUUAAAUCACAAAAUAUGAAAGUCACAAAACCCAAAAGGAUUCACCAUAAACUAGGCCUAGGCUCUGAUACCACUUGAAGGAAAAAUUUUGUCCUAGCCAAGAACAAGUAUGAACAUUUGAAUACAAAGGCAAGCUAUUAACACUUUAAAGUAGACAUGCAUUAAAAACCAAUUCAUAAAACCCAUGACUUUCAAAGCCUAGUAUAUGGUGAACCAAUAAACUCUUUAACAACAUUAAAGAGA